rnacentral:lncRNA from 1 species
AUGGGAAGAGGGCAGGGCAGAAAGGGGGCGGGGCUUCAUGGAGGGGGCGUGGGCCAUGGGUCAUUGAGUUCCAUUAUGUCAAUGGCAGCCAUGGGGUGGGGGCGUGGCUUAAACGAAGGGGGAGUUGGCUUAACGAAGGGGCGGUGGCCUAUGGGUACAUUGGUUCCAUUAUGUCAGGCCGGCCAAUGGGGGAGGGGCGUGGGCUUAAUGUGGGCGUGGCUUAAUGAAGGGGGCGUGGCCUGUGGGUCCUUGGGUUCCAUUAUGGUAAUGGCGGCCAAUGGGGUGGGGGCGUGGCCUAUGGGGGGGUGGCUUAAUGAAGGGGGGGCGAUGGUUAAUGAAGGGGCGUGGGCCUAUGGGUCCAUUGGGUUCCAUUAUGUCAAUGGCUGCCAAUGGGGGGCGUGGCUUAAUUACGCAGGGCUUGGCU